AUGAAGAAAUCAGAUUAUAAUUUUUGCAAUAACAUAAUCCAAAUACCACUUACAUAUGGAGAAGAAAGGCAUAGGAAAAACAAAUAUUAUAAACCACAAAGGAGAGAUAAUAGAAAUUUUAGAACAAAGAAAAGAUAUUUCUUAAGAAGAUCAGACAAUAGAGCCCCAUUCUUGCAUAAAAGAAAUGUAAGAAGAUAUAAUCCUAAGAAAACCUAUGAUAAAACAUGCAGGUGUUUCAUAUGUAACUCACCAGAUCAUCUAAGUAGAACUUGCCCUAAUAAAGACCAGAAAAGAUACUCCAGCAAAUAUGAAGAACAAGAGAGGGUGUUAAUUAUAGAUAGCGUUAAUGAAAAUAUAUUAGUAUGUGAUGAUGAAAUAAAAGACGAUGAGUCAGUAUAG
rnacentral:rRNA from 1 species